GACGAACGCUGGCGGCGUGCCUAAUACAUGCAAGUUGAGCGCUGAAGGUUGGUACUUGUACCAACUGGAUGAGCAGCGAACGGGUGAGUAACGCGUGGGGAAUCUGCCUUUGAGCGGGGGACAACAUUUGGAAACGAAUGCUAAUACCGCAUAAAAACUUUAAACACAAGUUUUAAGUUUGAAAGAUGCAAUUGCAUCACUCAAAGAUGAUCCCGCGUUGUAUUAACUAGUUGGUGAGGUAAAGGCUCACCAAGGCGAUGAUACAUAGCCGACCUGAGAGGGUGAUCGGCCACAUUGGGACUGAGACACGGCCCAAACUCCUACGGGAGGCAGCAGUAGGGAAUCUUCGGCAAUGGACGAAAGUCUGACCGAGCAACGCCGCGUGAGUGAAGAAGGGUUUCGGAUCGUAAAACUCUGUUGGUAGAGAAGAACGUUGGUGAGAGUGGAAAGCUCAUCAAGUGACGGUAACUACACAGAAAGGGACGGCUAACUACGUG
rnacentral:rRNA from 1 species